rnacentral:rRNA from 1 species
AUACGGAGGAUGCAAGCGUUAUCCGGAUUUAUUGGGUUUAAAGGGUGCGUAGGCGGUAUGCUAAGCGGGAGGUGAAAUGACGGCGGUCAACGUCGGAAGUGCCUCCCGCACUGGUGGACUUGAAUGACUCUGCCGAGGGAGGAAGGUGUAGAGUAGCGGGGAAAUGCUUAGAGAUUACACAGAACACCGAUUGCGAAGGCAUCUCACGAAGGGUUGAUUGACGCUGAGGCACGAAAGCGUGGGGAUCAAACAGGAUUAGAUACCCUGGUAGUCCACGCAGUAAACGAUGAUGGCUAACCGCUGGGCUUAUCAGUUCAGUGGCCAAGCGAAAGCGAUAAGCCAUCCCCCUGGGGAGUACGACCGCAAGGUUGAAGCUCAAAGGAAUUGACGGGG